rnacentral:lncRNA from 1 species
GAGAAAAGGGAGGGGGACGGAAGAGGAAGGAGGACUGAGCCCGGGAGAGAGAGGGGAGGGGUCGGCGCGCGACCGGGUCAUGCAGGUGCAGACUGGCCGGUCGCUUCCCGCCCUCCAGCCACCCGCAGCUCCCCGGCAGGCGAAGGGCGGCCGCGCGGGUGUGGGCCGAGAGAGGGAGGCGGCUCGGCUGGAGCGCGCCGUCCGCCCGACCCCCGCCGCCUCUCGGGCGCCUGCGCUCACGCUGCGGGGCCCAGCGCAUUGUGAGCCGGGUCGAGCUCCACGCUGGCAGCGUCUGAGAGCUGUCCUGGGCCGGAGGUGGCGCGAACCCUGUGCGGCCUAGAGUGGGCCUGGGGAAGCCAGCUGCCAUGUUCUGAGUACUCUCUGGAAGGGCCUGCAUGGCAAGGAACUGAUGUUUCCAGCCAGCAGCCAGCAAGAACUGCAAGCCUUGUGAAUGAGCUUGGAAGCAGAUCCUCCCCUCACUCAAGCCAUGAUAUGACAACAGCCUGAGACCCAGAGGACACAAACCACAGUCAAAAAAGGUCUUCCUGAGUUCUGAAGGUCAAGCAAUUAGAAUUUUCUCAGGCUUGUAGAAGAGUGGAAUUCUGGAAACCAGUCUUCGCCUCAGGGGAGCAUCUGUUGGAAGUUCUUAGAAUCAGAAAUCUGAGCGUAGGAAGAAGUGGGUUAGCCCUGGAGAAAGGAAAAGGAGGAUCAUGGUUCUCUGCAAAGAGCUGGAAGCUAAAAAGCAGGCUGUGUUUACUUACCAACCAGGACUCAGUGGGAUCUUUGCCAGCUUCCAAUAUGGCCUUAAAAGUAUAUGAAAUCCAAGAAAUAUUUCUGCAAAGCAAGAGAUCUUCACUGCUUUAUUUUCCACCACCUGAAUCCUUGCAGUGAGUGUAGUGUGUAUCUAAUCAAUCUAUUAAAAAAUACUUCAAAAGU